GGAAAUAGAAUUAUAGAAUCAUUAAUGUUCGAAGAGACCAUUAGGAUCAUCAAGCCCAACCACAGGUCCCUCAGAUGACUGCAUAUAGCAAGUCUCCCCAAAAUACAGGAGGGACACCCAAUCCAGCUUUUCAGGGAUCUCCUGGGCUCUCUGCUUCAACAGUGAAUCACCAAGCCUUGGUGAAACCAUGGCUCUUUCAGGUAAAGAAUCAGCCAAACUGAUGCUGCUCUCUGGAAGUCCAGAAGAGAGGUUACAAGGAGCACCACAAAAAGAGCAUGAAAACAGAAUCAUCACAGAAACAUUCAGAUUGGAUAAGAUCACCAAGAUCAUCAACUCCCACCAUCGAACCACCACCACCACCAUGCCCACUAACCACGUCCCAUGGGUGCCAUGUGCAUCAACAGCUCCACACAGACUCUUCCUCCCUUCGGAUGCAAAAAUGAUCGUGAGGGUCUUCUUUAAUGAUGUCUUCACCAUACUUACAACCAGCACUUGGGCCAGCACUGGCAGAUGGUUGGACUGGAUGAACUUGUAGGUCUUUUCCAACCUUGGUAAUUCUAUGAUUGCCAAGGGGUACGUAAAGAUUUGUGGCUGUUACUGCCCCAAGGGGAGACGUCCAAGCACAUCCUCUCCAAGGCUACAAAACCACUGUCCCAGGCACCAACACUGAAAAACUGCUCUCACCAAUACUAUGGGAAGCAGCUAGAAUGAUAACCUUUGUCAGCAGGGUGUCAAAAGCCAAGAAGAAGGAGGAUUUUUCUGGGCUUAUUAAUGUAUGCCUCUUCUCAGCUCAGUACGGGCUGGGAGUGGGUGCUGUCCUUUAGGUUGUGGACAAGAUAGCAACCCCUAAGGUCAUCCAGAGAGAUUGCUCCUUUAAACAAAGACCAUCUCAUCCUCACAUUGUCUCUUCCAGAGGGCUCCCCUUUUGCUGUGGGCACGCUCCAGCAAGGUUUCCAUUGCAGUCUCUGUAAUUAUGGAAAGUACUCCGGAGCACAGGGAAAGCAAAUCGAUGGGAUAAUAAAAUCCAUGUCUGCGGCUCUCUGUUAACCUUUUCCUUAACGUAAUGACAGCCAGUGGUGACUUACAGCCCUCCUUAAAAUUCCCCAGAAGUUUACAGCGCACUUUUCUGACAGCUAUCGGAGCUUAACUGUCUCCUUUAGCUACUAAUUGCAGUUAUUAACUUUUUUGGGGAGGAGGAAGAUUUACAGCUAUUAUGAGAUGGCCUAAGCAUGAUUCUUUUCCUUCCAGUGUCAUAUCGUCCUCACUUAUUUGGAAAUCUUGACAAAAAGCAAACAGUUUGUGCUCAUUAAAAUGCCAUCACACAGGAAUGCAGUGACAUUUAAUGGAGGAUGUUUGGAGCUGUCUCUGACCUGUGCUCAACGACUUCCCUUCAAAGCUCAGGAGGUGCUUCCAUGCCACAGCAACACUUCACUCAGCCAAGGAGUUUCCAGCAUGUGCUGGGUUGCUGCUGGACACCAAUACCAAAGUUUAUGUUCAAUAUCUAUCACCCGAGCUUUCCUUAUCAAGUUUGAUCACUGCCUGAGCUGCUAUUUUUCCCCCCUGUCUUCUGUUUCAUGAGACAGUCGUGAACAAAUCCUACACAAAACACAUGCAAAAUAGUUUGUGCUUUCAAGCGAAAAAUAAAAGUAGUCAUUGAAUGUGAUGAAGGAAAGAAAUCGGGCUGAAAGGAGUGGUUAAUGAAAUGUAGGCACCGUGAGACAUCUGCAGUGUCUUCCCCGAGGAAGAUCUAAUCCUUCUCAGCUUCUGUAAGCACCGCUCUGGUAUCAGCUCAUGUCACACCCUGUCACACCGUCACUGUUAGACAGCAUCAGCAAUGGAAAUCACCUCCUCUCACCAAAGCCCAAAGUGCUUUGCAGGAUCUGCCUUCCAAAACCUGCUCUCAUCUGGUCUCCGAUGCUUCACCUCAACCCAGGCACAGCUGUUACGUGUGCCAACCUGGGGAAAUCAGAAGCCAUGCAGCAAUAACUGUUAAUUGACCGAGAGCCACCUCUGCGAUGCCAACAGGAACAAAAGAACAAGCAUCUGGCUUUGCCAUCUGUGCCUGUUUAAAUGCAGCAAAAAGAAACCCUUCUCCAGAUCUCCCAGCUGGGUGGAGAGGUAACUGGAUUCAGCAGCAACGUGGAGUUGCAGGUUGGCUGGGUCUGUGGCUCCUAGUCACUCUGACAUGUGAAACCCUUUGCACGAGACAUGUUGACCUUCCCAGCCCUGGCUUUGUAGAUGAGAGCAAUGAUGGGCUCUGAUGGACGCAACUGAGCAGCCUGGAGUUAUUUCUAGUCAUGGUUGCAGUUCACUGUGAAUAAAAGUCCGGGUGUUCAG
rnacentral:lncRNA from 7 species